GGGGGUUUAGCUCAGUGGUAGAGUGCUUGCCUAGCGAGCACAAGGCCCUGGGUUCGGUCCCCAGCUCCG
rnacentral:tRNA from 1 species